CGAUCUGGCUCAGGACAACGCUGGCGGCGUGCUUCAUACAUGCAAGUCGAACGAGAAUCUGAUGCUUGCACCAGAGGAAAGUGGCGGACGGGUGAGUAAUAUGUAGAGAAUCUGCCCUUUAGCGGGGGACAACAGUUGGAAACGACUGCUAAUACCCCAUAUGAGCGUAGCUGAGAUGCUAUUCUUGAAACUCCGGUGCUAAAGGAUGAGUCUGCAUCUGAUUAGCUAGUUGGCGGUGUAAUGGACCACCAGGGCGACGAUCAGUAGCUGGUUUGAGAGGAUGAUCAGCCACAAUGGGACUGAGACACGGCCCAUACUCCUACGGGAGGCAGCAGUAGGGAAUUUUGCGCAAUGGGCGAAAGCCUGAACCGCAGCAACGCCGCGUGACCGAUGAAGCCCUUCGGGGUGUAAAGGUCUGUCAGUGGGGACGAAACUUGACGGUACCCACAGAGGAAGCAUCGGCUAACUCCGUGCCAGCCGCCGC
rnacentral:rRNA from 1 species